rnacentral:misc_RNA from 1 species
GAUGAAGAACGUAGCAAAAUGCGAUACUUGGUGUGAAUUGCAGAAUCCCGUGAACCAUCGAGUUUUUGAACGCAAGUUGCGCCCGAAGCCUUUUGGCCGAGGGCACGUCUGCCUGGGCGUCACGCAUCGCGUCGCCCCCUCCCACAAUUCUUCGCACAGGGAACUUGUGUUUUGGGGGCGGAUAUUGGUCUCCCGUGCUCAUGGCGUGGUUGGCCGAAAUAGGAGUCCCUUCGAUGGACGCACGAACUAGUGGUGGUCGUAAAAACCCUCGUCUUUUGUUUCGUGCCGUUAGUCGCGAGGGAAACUCUUAGAAAACCCCAGCGUGUCGUCUUUUGACGGCGCUUCGACCGCGACCCCAGGUCAGGCGGGACUACCCGCUGAGUUUAAGCAUAUCAAUAAGCGGAGGA